UUUGAUAAGGAUAAUUUGGUCAUUAUAUUGUACAAGUUGAUAAACGUGUAAUAUCUACGAUCUUCUACGCACGGUGGCAAUGUGUUCGGCUUUCUCUCUCUCAGUGGCUUUUCUAUCUUCUCUUUUGUUAGUUUAACAUUAGUUUAACAAAGGAGAAGAUGGAUGACUCUUUUGUUAGUUUAAAGGACACCCACUCUUUCUGGCUUUUGUUUGUAGGAUAUAUUGAACAUAGAUUUUGAUUGGAAUAUACUUUUGAGCCUUUUCCUUAUGCAAGAAGAUAUGGACUACUUAUCAAAAUUUUCCUCUCAACUUACGACAAAGAUGAUUUAGGAGACUGGGUAGGUUGAAUCAAAUGAUGUUUUCGCUGUUUACUGGUCAAGGGUGAAAUUGCAGCCCGGUGUACGAAGCAUCCAGCUACCAAACGAGGUCCGAAGAAACCUUAUUUAGUUUUUAGAUUCUGCAUGGUAACCACCGUGGAUUUGUAAAAUACUCUUGAUGUAAACAUGUUAUGUUUUGUAGCUAUAUAACUAGGGAGGAUGAAAUAUACACAAUUUUACUUCUACCUUACGAAGGAAGGAAGCUGAUAACUGCAGUGCUUGUGAAAGACUUGCCAAAGCAUUCUUGCAAGAACUAAAUACUUUUGAGAUUCCUAUUCUAAAGAGCAAAGCAGUCAUCGAUGCAAAUGUUAGAGAAAUAGAGAAUUUUAAUUACCUGAAAGGUGAAAUCAACUAGCAAAUUGUAUAUACUGACAUAGAAUAUCUCAAGUGACAACUCAAAGAAAGCAAAGUUGAAAGGAAGCACAAAGAAAAGGGUGAGGCUAUCAGAUACUCAACUGCUCCUUGCAUAAUUAAAAAAACGUGAUUUGGCAAAUCCUUUCUAUGAUUAAAGGAAAUGUACUUGUUAAAAGCUCUAGAUUAAUGAAUUACUUUGUAGUUGUUGAGUUAUGGAUUACAGUUUCUUGGCCAUGGCCAGAACACAAAAGAUCAAUUGCUAUGUAAAAAUUCAAAUAUUAUGUGUGAACGUUGGAUAUAAGCAAGUCUGUGAUUACCCUUAAUAUACGAGGGAGUGGCAGAAUAUUGUCCCAACUAUCUAAUGUAGGAUUCAUUUUGUGUUGGGAAGCACUUCACUUACAAUUUGUUCCAUGUUGAGUCAACACUGAUAAUAUAUUGAUUUUUAUACACGUAUUUUUG